ACGGGAGGCAGCAGUGGGGAAUAUUGGGCAAUGGGGGAAACCCUGACCCAGCAACGCCGCGUGGAGGAAGAAGGUUUUCGGGUCGUAAACUCCUGUCCUUGGUGAAGAGCAGAAGACGGUAGCCAAGGAGGAAGCCCCGGCUAACUACGUGCCAGCAGCCGCGGUAAUACGUAGGGGGCAAGCGUUGUCCGGAAUGAUUGGGCGUAAAGGGCGCGUAGGCGGCCCGGUAAGUCUGGAGUGAAAGUCCUGCCUUUAAGGUGGGAAUUGCUUUGGAUACUGUCGGGCUUGAGUGCAGGAGAGGUAAGUGGAAUUCCCAGUGUAGCGGUGAAAUGCGUAGAUAUUAGGAGGAACACCAGUGGCGAAGGCGGCUUACUGGACGAUUACUGACGCUGAGGCUCGAAAGCGUGGGGAGCAAACAGGAUUAGAUACCCUGGUA
rnacentral:rRNA from 1 species